rnacentral:rRNA from 1 species
CAAUAGCGUAUAUUUAAGUUGCUGCAGUUAAAAAGCUCGUAGUUGGAUUUCGGGUGGGAAUGGCCGGUCCGCCGUUUCGGUGUGCACUUGCUACGCCCACCUUGCUGCCGGGGACGUGCUCUUGAGUUCACGCUCGGGACACGGAGUCGGCGAGGUUACUUUGAGUAAAUUAGAGUGUUCAAAGCAGGCCUACGCUCUGAAUACAUUAGCAUGGAAUAACACGAUAGGACUCUGGCCUAUCUUGUUGGUCUGUAGGACCGGAGUAAUGAUUAAGAGGGACUGUCGGGGGCAUUCGUAUUUCAUUGUCAGAGGUGAAAUUCUUGGAUUUAUGAAAGACGAACUACUGCGAAAGCAUUUGCCAAGGAUGUUCUCAUUAA